GACGUAGGGCGCGAGCGUUGUCCGGAUUUAUUGGGCGUAAAGAGCUCGUAGGCGGCUCAUUGCGUCAACCGUGAAAACUUGUGGCUCAACUACAAGCUUGCGGUUGAUACGGGUGGGCUGGAGUUCGGUAGGGGAGACUGGAAUUCCUGGUGUAGCGGUGAAAUGCGCAGAUAUCGGGAGGAACACCAGUGGCGAAGGCGGCACUCUGGGCCGGAACUGACGCUGAGGAGCGAAAGCGUGGGGAGCGAACAGG
rnacentral:rRNA from 1 species